GACGAACGCUGGCGGCGUGCUUAACACAUGCCAGUCGAACGGAAAGGCCCUGCUUUUGUGGGGUGCUCGAGUGGCGAACGGGUGAGAAACACGUGAGUAACCUGCCCUUGACUUUGGGAUAACUUCAGGAAACUGGGGCUAAUACCGGAUAGGAGCUCCUGCUGCAUGGUGGGGGUUGGAAAGUUUCGGCGGUUGGGGAUGGACUCGCGGCUUAUCAGCUUGUUGGUGGGGUAGUGGCUUACCAAGGCUUUGACGGGUAGCCGGCCUGAGAGGGUGACCGGCCACAUUGGGACUGAGAUACGGCCCAGACUCCUACGGGAGGCAGCAGUGGGGAAUAUUGCACAAUGGGCGGAAGCCUGAUGCAGCAACGCCGCGUGCGGGAUGACGGCCUUCGGGUUGUAAACCGCUUUCGCCUGUGACGAAGCGUGAGUGACGGUAAUGGGUAAAGAAGCACCGGCUAACUACGUG
rnacentral:rRNA from 1 species